rnacentral:tRNA from 2 species
GGGCCCGUAGCUUAGCAAGGAAGAGCACCGGGCUUUUAACCCGGGGGUCAGGGGUUCAAUUCCCCUCGGGCCCGCCA